rnacentral:rRNA from 1 species
AGAGUUUGAUCCUGGCUCAGAUUGAACGCUGGCGGCAGGCCUAACACAUGCAAGUCGAGCGGAUGAAGGGAGCUUGCUCCUGGAUUCAGCGGCGGACGGGUGAGUAAUGCCUAGGAAUCUGCCUGGUAGUGGGGGAUAACGUCCGGAAACGGGCGCUAAUACCGCAUACGUCCUGAGGGAGAAAGUGGGGGAUCUUCGGACCUCACGCUAUCAGAUGAGCCUAGGUCGGAUUAGCUAGUUGGUGGGGUAAAGGCCUACCAAGGCGACGAUCCGUAACUGGUCUGAGAGGAUGAUCAGUCACACUGGAACUGAGACACGGUCCAGACUCCUACGGGAGGCAGCAGUGGGGAAUAUUGGACAAUGGGCGAAAGCCUGAUCCAGCCAUGCCGCGUGUGUGAAGAAGGUCUUCGGAUUGUAAGGCACUUUAAGUUGGGAGGAAGGGCAGUAAGUUAAUACCUUGCUGUUUUGACGUUACCAACAGAAUAAGCACCGGCUAACUUCGUGCCAGCAGCCGCGGUAAUACGAAGGGUGCAAGCGUUAAUCGGAAUUACUGGGCGUAAAGCGCGCGUAGGUGGUUCAGCGAGUUGGAUGUGAAAUCCCCGGGCUCAACCUGGGAACUGCAUCCAAAACUACUGAGCUAGAGUACGGUAGAGGGUGGUGGAAUUUCCUGUGUAGCGGUGAAAUGCGUAGAUAUAGGAAGGAACACCAGUGGCGAAGGCGACCACCUGGACUGAUACUGACACUGAGGUGCGAAAGCGUGGGGAGCAAACAGGGAUAGAUACCCUGGUAGUCCACGCCGUAAACGAUGUCGACUAGCCGUUGGGAUCCUUGAGAUCUUAGUGGCGCAGCUAACGCGAUAAGUCGACCGCCUGGGGAGUACGGCCGCAAGGUUAAAACUCAAAUGAAUUGACGGGGGCCCGCACAAGCGGUGGAGCAUGUGGUUUAAUUCGAAGCAACGCGAAGAACCUUACCUGGCCUUGACAUGCUGAGAACUUUCCAGAGAUGGAUUGGUGCCUUCGGGAACUCAGACACAGGUGCUGCAUGGCUGUCGUCAGCUCGUGUCGUGAGAUGUUGGGUUAAGUCCCGUAACGAGCGCAACCCUUGUCCUUAGUUACCAGCACCUCGGGUGGGCACUCUAAGGAGACUGCCGGUGACAAACCGGAGGAAGGUGGGGAUGACGUCAAGUCAUCAUGGCCCUUACGGCCAGGGCUACACACGUGCUACAAUGGUCGGUACAAAGGGUUGCCAAGCCGCGAGGUGGAGCUAAUCCCAUAAAACCGAUCGUAGUCCGGAUCGCAGUCUGCAACUCGACUGCGUGAAGUCGGAAUCGCUAGUAAUCGUGAAUCAGAAUGUCACGGUGAAUACGUUCCCGGGCCUUGUACACACCGCCCGUCACACCAUGGGAGUGGGUUGCUCCAGAAGUAGCUAGUCUAACCGCAAGGGGGACGGUUACCACGGAGUGAUUCAUGACUGGGGUGAAGUCGUAACAAGGUAACC